GACGAACGCUGGCGGCGUGCUUAACACAUGCAAGUCGAACGGGAUUUAGUAGACAGAAGCCUCGGCUAAAGAUUACUAAUGAGAGUGGCGAACGGGUGAGUAACGCGUGAGCAACCUGCCUAUGACAGUGGGAUAGCCUCGGGAAACCGGGAUUAAUACCGCAUAAAAUCGUAGAAACACAUGUUUCAACGGUCAAAGAUUUAUCGGUCAUAGAUGGGCUCGCGUCUGAUUAGCUAGUUGGUGAGAUAACAGCCCACCAAGGCGACGAUCAGUAGCCGGUCUGAGAGGAUGAACGGCCACAUUGGAACUGAGACACGGUCCAAACUCCUACGGGAGGCAGCAGUGGGGAAUAUUGCACAAUGGGGGAAACCCUGAUGCAGCGACGCCGCGUGAACGAAGAAGGUAUUCGUAUCGUAAAGUUCUGUCCUAUGGGAAGAUAAUGACAGUACCAGAGAAGAAAGCUCCGGCUAAAUACGUG
rnacentral:rRNA from 1 species